GUGGGGAAUAUUGGACAAUGGGCGAAAGCCUGAUCCAGCCAUGCCGCGUGUGUGAAGAAGGUCUUCGGAUUGUAAAGCACUUUAAGUUGGGAGGAAGGGCAGUAAGUUAAUACCUUGCUGUUUUGACGUUACCGACAGAAUAAGCACCGGCUAACUUCGUGCCAGCAGCCGCGGUAAUACGAAGGGUGCAAGCGUUAAUCGGAAUUACUGGGCGUAAAGCGCGCGUAGGUGGUUCAGUAAGUUGGAAGUGAAAUCCCCGGGAUCAACCUGGGAACUGCUGUCAAAACUGAUGAGCUAGAGUACGGUAGAGGGUGGUGGAAUUUCCUGUGUAGCGGUGAAAUGCGUAGAUAUAGGAAGGAACUCCAGUGGCGAAGGCGACCACCUGGACUGAUACUGACACUGAGGUGCGAAAGCGUGGGGAGCAAACAGGAUUAGAUACCCGGGUAGUCC
rnacentral:rRNA from 1 species